rnacentral:rRNA from 1 species
ACUCCUACGGGAGGCAGCAGUAGGGAAUCUUCCACAAUGGGCGCAAGCCUGAUGGAGCAACACCGCGUGAGUGAAGAAGGGUUUCGGCUCGUAAAGCUCUGUUGUUAAAGAAGAACACGUAUGAGAGUAACUGUUCAUACGUUGACGGUAUUUAACCAGAAAGUCACGGCUAACUACGUGCCAGCAGCCGCGGUAAUACGUAGGUGGCAAGCGUUAUCCGGAUUUAUUGGGCGUAAAGAGAGUGCAGGCGGUUUUCUAAGUCUGAUGUGAAAGCCUUCGGCUUAACCGGAGAAGUGCAUCGGAAACUGGAUAACUUGAGUGCAGAAGAGGGUAGUGGAACUCCAUGUGUAGCGGUGGAAUGCGUAGAUAUAUGGAAGAACACCAGUGGCGAAGGCGGCUACCUGGUCUGCAACUGACGCUGAGACUCGAAAGCAUGGGUAGCGAACAGGAUUAGAUACCCUGGUAGGCUAGCC